rnacentral:rRNA from 1 species
UACGUAGGGGGCGAGCGUUGUCCGGAUUUAUUGGGCGUAAAGAGCUCGUAGGCGGCUCGGUAAGUCAGGUGUGAAAGCUUCCGGCUUAACUGGAAAAUUGCAUCGGAAACUGCUCGGCUUGAAGGUGGGAGAGGGUAGCGGAAUUCCCGGUGUAGUGGUGAAAUGCGUAGAUAUCGGGAGGAAUACCGAUGGCGAAGGCAGGUCUCUGGGCUAUAACUGACGCUCAUGCACGAAAGCGUGGGGAGCAAACAGG